AAUAGAUACCCGGUAGUCCACGCCGUAAACGUUGGGCGCUAGAUGUGGGGACCAUUCCACGGUUUCCGCGUCGUAGCUAACGCAUUAAGCGCCCCGCCUGGGGAGUACGGCCGCAAGGCUAAAACUCAAAGGAAUUGACGGGGGCCCGCACAAGCGGCGGAGCAUGCGGAUUAAUUCGAUGCAACGCGAAGAACCUUACCAAGGCUUGACAUAUGCGAGAACGCUCUAGAAAUAGAGAACUCUUUGGACACUCGUAUACAGGUGGUGCAUGGUUGUCGUCAGCUCGUGUCGUGAGAUGUUGGGUUAAGUCCCGCAACGAGCGCAACCCUCGUCGCAUGUUGCCAGCACGUAAUGGUGGGAACUCAUGUGAGACUGCCGGGGUCAACUCGGAGGAAGGUGGGGAUGACGUCAAAUCAUCAUGCCCCUUAUGUCUUGGGCUUCACGCAUGCUACAAUGGCCGGUACAAAGGGCUGCGAAACCGCAAGGUGGAGCGAAUCCCAAAAAGCCGGUCUCAGUUCGGA
rnacentral:rRNA from 1 species